AACGCGAAGAACCUUACCAAGGCUUGACAUCCUGCGAAGGUCUCUGAAAGGAGACUGUGCCUUCGGGAACGCAGUGACAGGUGCUGCAUGGCCGUCGUCAGCUCGUGUCGUGAGAUGUUUGGUUAAGUCCAUCAACGAGCGCAACCCCUUUAGUUAGUUGCUUUUUCUAGCUAGACUGCCCUGGUAACAGGGAGGAAGGAGGGGACGACGUCAGGUCAGUAUUGCCCUUACGCCUUGGGCUACAAACACGCUACAAUGGCCGGUACAAAGGGCUGCCAAGUCGCGAGACGGAGCAAAUCCCAUCAAAGCCGGUCUCAGUUCGGAUUGCAGGCUGAAACUCGCCUGCAUGAAGCUGGAAUCGCUAGUAACGGUAGGUCAGCACUACUACCGUGAAUACGUUCCCGGGCCUUGUACACACCGACGCAC
rnacentral:rRNA from 1 species